GGGGGUGACUGGCUUCGACGAAGAUACGGUAUCGUACGUAGCGUGGCAAAGCUGUGGUAACUUUUCAAACUGCCUCAAAAAUUCAAGUGCGAAAAACACUGGCGGGGUUCUUUCCCCGAUUCAGCCUGCUUACGCUUUUGCCUAAGCGGCCGUCCACGAAUGUAGAGCUUGAGUAAAUUCGUUGGGCGUCAUUCUUCAAGCACUCGCGAGCGAAGUCCUGCGCUCGCGUAAGACUUAGGACUCGGUGUGUCGAGUUUCUGUUCACCUUUUAUUCGGCACAUUUAAAACUUCAGAUGAACUACGCCUCGUAGACACCCGUGCAUACUUUUCUUCGGACUCGGGAUCAUUCCCCGACACCUCCACAA
rnacentral:tmRNA from 3 species